GACGAACGCUGGCGGCGUGCUUAACACAUGCAAGUCGAACGGAAAGGCCCUGCUUGCAGGGUACUCGAGUGGCGAACGGGUGAGUAACACGUGGGUGAUCUGCCCUGCACUUCGGGAUAAGCCUGGGAAACUGGGUCUAAUACCGGAUAGGAGCCAUUUUUAGUGUGAUGGUUGGAAAGUUUUUUCGGUGUAGGAUGAGCUCGCGGCCUAUCAGCUUGUUGGUGGGGUAAUGGCCUACCAAGGCGGCGACGGGUAGCCGGCCUGAGAGGGUGGACGGCCACAUUGGGACUGAGAUACGGCCCAGACUCCUACGGGAGGCAGCAGUGGGGAAUAUUGCACAAUGGGCGCAAGCCUGAUGCAGCGACGCCGCGUGGGGGGAUGACGGCCUUCGGGUUGUAAACUCCUUUCGCUAGGGACGAAGCUUUUUGUGACGGUACCUAGAUAAGAAGCACCGGCUAACUACGUG
rnacentral:rRNA from 1 species